GAUCAUUAAAGUGUUUGAACCGCGAGGUUCUUCAUUCCAAAGCUGUGCGCUUUCGGGCUGCACGCCGAGGGAGACACCUUUCCACACCUGUGCACAUACACGGUGGUGGGUUUAAUUACUCGCCGCCGCUUCAUCACACACUUCUAUUAAGUUUUGUAUGUUGAACCUGUAUAAAAAAUACAACUUUCAGCAACGGAUCUCUUGGCUCUCGCAUCGAUGAAGAACGCAGCGAAAUGCGAUAAGUAAUGUGAAUUGCAGAAUUCAGUGAAUCAUCGAAUCUUUGAACGCACCUUGCGCCACGUGGUAUUCCACGGGGCACGCCUGUUUGAGUGUCACGUUAACCAUCGCGUCGUGGAUGUAACAGUCUACGGGGCGGAUUUGGAUGCUUGCCGCGUGAUGCGGCUCAUCUCGAAAUGCAUUAGCUGUCUGUGGACCGCACCGCCGGUGUAAUAAUUUCCUUUGCGCCUUUGGUGUGGACCGCUCGGGUGGCUUACAAUCGUCCGCGAGGACAACAAUCUUAAGCUUUGACCUCAAAUCAGGCGGGACUACCCGCUGAACUUAAGCAUAUCAAUAAGCGGAGGAAAAGAAACUAACAAGGAUUCCCCUAGUAACGGCGAGUGAARAGGGAAAAGCUCAAAUUUGAAAUCUGGCGGUCUUUGGCCGUCCGAGUUGUAAUUUAGAGAGGCGUCUUCCGCGUCGGACCACACACAAGUUCCCUGGAAUGGGACGUCACAGAGGGUGAGAAUCCCGUACGUGGUGUGGACUACCGAGGCUAUGUGAUGCGCCCUCGAAGAGUCGAGUUGUUUGAGAAUGCAGCUCAAAACGGGUGGUAAAUUCCAUCUAAAGCUAAAUAUUGGGGAGAGACCGAUAGCGAACAAGUACCGUGAGGGAAAGAUGAAAAGAACUUUGGAAAGAGAGUUAAACAGUACGUGAAAUUGCUGAAAGGGAAACGCUUGAAGUCAGUCGCGUCGUUCGGGAUUCAGCCUUGCUUUUGCUUGGUGUACUUCCUGUUCGACGGGUCAGCAUCAGUUUUGGCCGGUGGAUAAGGGCUCAGAGAAUGUGGCACCUUCGGGUGUGUUAUAGCUUUGGGUCGCAUACAUCGGCUGGGACUGAGGAACUCAGCACGCCGCAAGGCCGGGUUUCGACCACGU
rnacentral:rRNA from 1 species